UUCCAGCUAUGGUACAAAAUCUCACUCUAGGGCUCAACAGUUCAGGUUCUCAAAAUGAGGUUCACCUCUCGGCUCCUGGGGCUGCUGAUGCUCUGGGUACCAGGUCAAGAUGGUCAGCACCCUCCCCCAACUAGAAAUGUGAAAGAGAGGAAAGAAAUGUGAGCCUUUCUACAUCAGGAGCAUCCGUUGACCUUCCUGGUUCAGCCAACUUUAAGCACACGAGCAAGCUAGGCAAGAUCAAUCAAGAUCAAUCAAGCCUGGGCCCAUAUUAGCAGAACUGCGCAGCCAACCAAUAAACAUGACAGCAACAAACAUGCUACCAUUUUA
rnacentral:lncRNA from 1 species